rnacentral:rRNA from 1 species
UCGAGAAUCUUCCGCAAUGCGCGCAAGCGUGACGGAGCGACGCCGCGUGGGCGAAGAAGGCCUUCGGGCUGUAAACCGCUUUCGGCCGGAACGAAAUCGGCGGGAUGAAUAGUCUCGCUGGAUGACGGUACCGGAAGAAGAAGCACCGGCUAACUACGUGCCAGCAGCCGCGGUAAUACGUAGGGUGCGAGCGUUAAUCGGAAUUACUGGGCGUAAAGCGUGCGCAGGCGGCCGCGUAAGCCAGAGGUGAAAUCCCCGGGCUCAACCUGGGAAUGGCCUUUGGGACUGCGUGGCUCGAGUGCGGCAGAGGGGGGUGGAAUUCCUGGUGUAGCAGUGAAAUGCGUAGAUAUCAGGAGGAACACCGAUGGCGAAGGCAGCCCCCUGGGCCAGCACUGACGCUCAUGCACGAAAGCGUGGGGAGCAAACGGGAUUAGAUACCCUGGUAGUCCACGCCCUAAACGAUGACGACUAGUUGUUGGGGGAGCAAUCCCUUAGUAACGUAGCUAACGCGUGAAGUCGUCCGCCUGGGGAGUACGGUCGCAAGAUUA